rnacentral:rRNA from 1 species
GCGCAGGGAGAGUGGCCCGCGGCCCAUCAGGUCGUUGGUGGGGUAAUGGCCUACCAAGCCGGUGACGGGUAGCUGGUCUGUGAGGACAGACAGCCAGACUGGGACUGAGACACGGCCCAG